UUUUUUUUUUUUUUUUUUUUUGUUAAUACAAGGCAAAUUUACAAUUUUUUUUCCCUACAGCGUCAUGAGUCAUAAGUCAUACACCUGAAAUUAAAUUAAUUUUCCCCUAAUAUAAUUAAUUACUAAAAGCGUACAAUUACUAUAAGUCCCAGCAGCGACUUCUGAGUUUGGAACCCGAACAUUGGUAUAACAUUGCCUGCUACCCUUGGACGGACUGCAACUAAAUUCUACUUUCUACUUCUCUCAGGCAUUUCAGGAUGAAAUCUGUUCGGCCCUUUGUGUUGAAACCUCAUCAUCAGGACACUAGAAUGCAGAGUUUGUGGACCUUGCUUAUCUUGGCUGGAAUCUCCAGUUCCACUCGGACUUCCUGACCUGAAACUUAUUUUGCAAUUCGAAGCUUAUAAUGGGAAAAAAUGCUCAUCUACCAGAGCAGAAUGUUAUUUCUUGUACAUGGAAGGAAAAAGCCAAAGGUAUAGUAAUUAGGAGUAGCUAGCCACCCUUCAGGAAGAGGCUGGCCACUGAACAACGAGAGACCGGAACAGCAGCAAUCGGUGAAAUGUAAGUCCCUACCAGUACUUGACUGCCCGCAAGGCGAUCAAGAAAAACUCUGGUUAACAUCUCUUUAUUCAGCUCUUUCACUAAAAAAUGAAUACUGAUCAUGAACAAGCAAAUGAUGAAUAAUUACAUUUAUCCUAGAUCAAUGGCAGAGGCAUAUAACAUAAUGAAAUCUCAUGCUGGCUGGCUGGCUUCUUGGCAACUAGAAUUUGUUGAAAAGAUAUUGCCAAAAAGCACAGAUAGUUGCUACUUACGGCUUCUUCACCCGAAGGCUUGGAGUGCUCAAUGUCCUGCUGGAUCGUAUUCCUCUUUCUUUUCGCGGAUGAGCACGAAAGCACAUUUGCAUGUGAAAAAAAGUAGCAGCCCGCUGAGAGAGAGGAGCAUAAUGAACUCUACCACAAGUGCUGAUCCCAGGGCUGCAGUGCCACGCACAUCAGAGCCAAUAGCAGUUCAACAACUAUUUACUCCGGUAACAAAUCUCUACAAAUGCUAAAUAUCUGGCUACUGCAGGUUAUUGCACACUUCAAACGAAUUGUGCAGGCAAUAAGAGAUUGGAGCUUACCAUGAGCUAACAGCGAACUCAUUGGCGGUCUUCUUAUUAGACUUAUUGUAGCCUCAGCAAAUAAUGGCAUUGACAUCAUUUGCUCGCAAUUCGGGCAACACCCAUAGUUUCCCAUAUCAUUUACUCUCACAGUCAGAACAUCACCAUGUUUGCCACCCUGCAGAAGUUGUCAGUUAAUCCCAAAUAGAAUACCAACUGCAUGAGAAAAUCCUAGUUUUCCAAUGAUGCUUACAUGAUACAUCAAUUGUUCAAUUAUACUGUUGCAGUCAUUAAUAGUCCCUCGGACUCUAAUGCCUUUUGCUUUCACCAUAAAAUGUUUAGAGAUGGUAACAAAUGUCAGAAGGGGCUGCCACUGGUAACUUGUCUUUAGCUUCAGUUCAGUCGUGGCUACAAGCUCAGCAGGAAGACUUGUAGAUAGAACUCCAGAACUGACUUCAAAAGAGAUGAUGACUAAAAAGUGAGACCUGUUACCUGAAAAUCAGCCAAGUAGAAAAUCAGGCACCAAUAUCCUGUCUGAUAAGCUUUUGGACUCUCAAAGGUAAGUCUUCUACAUCGUCUGAUGAUCAAGUUUGUUUUUCCAGAAUUUUCCAUAUAAACCGAAUGCCCUCUGCGUUUCCAGAGUAAUCAGCACUUUAUAGGUAACUAACGGUACAAAUUAGAGACUAGCAAGAACCGAGCAUUUUAGUGCAAUUCCAACAACAAAUAAAACUUGAUGUUAAUGAGGUAAUGUCUAUUAGAGCUGGCAAGCUGUUAUCCAAGAAAGCCAGAAAAAAUGUGUUUUGACAUUGCACAUAUAUGCAUCAUUUCAUACACAAAAUCAGCUUAGCUGUCAUAAUUUGAUCUUACAUGUUGCGUAUACUUCUAUACUGCAUAAGCUGUCUUGUAAAUGAUCUUACUUAUACUGUCAAGUUUUGCAAUAUUGAAAAUUUUUUAUUUUUAAAUGCUAGAGUCUGUCUAUGAAGCGACUAAAUUCAAUGCGUUUGUACUGUCUUGCAUACCAGGGAAAUUUGGAAGAUCUGGAUCCCCAAUACUGAAGUCAAAUUUGUCUUUCUUUCUAUCAAAAAUAAGUACAUCUCCCGAAUCUUCAAGGAAAAUAAAUGCAGGGGCAUUGAUAAAUGGAUGGUCAUUAAUAGGUUCCACAAAUACAGGAACUUUAACACUGUUCUUCCCAUUUCUGUUCAUGGUAGAGACUUGGAUUGCAUCAUCACCGCAAAAGUUCUCAUCCCUGCUUCAAGGUAACAAACAGCUCAUCUUAAUGCAGCACACUUAAUGAUGUUUAACCACAAAGAGUCAUGCUGUGCAUUUUUUUCCCUUUUUACUUUGUGGGGAGAAGGUGAGAUGAAGAAAGAGAGAGUACUCUCACUUGAUAAUUCUGAUGGAUGCUUAAAAGAAAGUUUGCUGCUUUGCAGAGGCUUAAUAAAAGACAGACGAACUUAUGUUGCUACAAAUUCAUUCCCACAAGGCCUACAUGACACAUCAUGCAUUUCGAGAAGGAAAAUUAAGUGAGGUGUCUGUCUUACCCAAAGUACCGGAUUGCUUGAAGGGCAGAGUUAAUUACAUCCACACGACCAGCCAAAAUCAACUCUUUGGCCUUCUGAUGAUCUAUUUUUACUGAUAAUUCACCCCAGAGCGGCUGCCAAAAUUGCAUUAGCAUUGGAGACAGGAAGACAGUUCCAUACUGUGCAUUAAGAAUAACCGUGAUGUUCUCAUCCAAAUCUGAGUAUGCAAUCUCAAAUCCAGAGAAACCACUGCACACAGAGCAGGCAAGAAUUUUGAUGUCUUUUGAGAGCAGUAGUUUAAAAGUUCUAAGAUAUGUUCUUCAUUUUUUCAAAGCUAAAUCUACUAUAAAGAAAGGCAACAUACCCAAAUCUGGGACUAAUUAGAUCCUCCGUUCCGUGCAAUUGACUUGGAAAGGAGACAAACUGAGGUGGAAUACUAAGGAUAUCUAUAUUGACAGAACCAGAAGCUACGUUGCCAUUUACAUCACAGAUGGUAUACACGAAAGAAUCAUUUCCAUUAAAUCCUUUGUAAGGUGUGUAUCUGAAAAGACCUCCAUACUGCAGAAGGGAACCAUGAUCUGGCUGUGACAAGUAUCAUUUACAACAGUAAGUCCUCCAAACAGAAAAGUGCUCAAUUGCCUUAACAAGUACCCAAGGUGUGGUCUUACAUAUGCUCACUCUGUGCGAGUGAAACACUUCUCGACAUGACAAUGUGAAUGGCCAAAAGCUAGUUGAACAAAUAGGAAUCAUGUAUUCUCUUUUAUUUUAAAAGGUAGAACCCAAAAUUAAGAUGGACAGUCACUCACACAAACAUAACGUUAUAGUUUAUGCAGGUCAUGAUAUGUUAUGGACACGAGGUUUCAUCCAACAUAAUUACGCAGCUUACCCUCGAAUAUUCUUUUAUACUAGCAUUGCCACCUGCAAAGUAAUCAUUGUCUAGAGCAUCAACUGCAGUUGACUCAUCCUCCCAGACAGGGACUGUAUCAUUUAAAACUUUAGGAAAAUAUUCACCUGAAAAAAAAAAAAAGAAUAAAUCAGUUAGAUGGAGAAUAUAGAAGUAUACAAAAAGAAUGCAACAAGCCCUUUAGAGAUGGAAGACACCAUGAGAUCAUGACCAGCACCAAAAGAUAUCAAGCACCACAUUGAUAUUUCGAAUGAGGACAGUAAUUGUUGUCACCUGUAAUUACUAAAACCAAAGAAAGUGUUCUUCCAAAUAUAAACCAAACAUCUACAGACAUACUUGUAUAAACAUUCACGCCAAUUGGACAUGGCGUGAAAUGCUGUCCAUCAAAUGAAGCGCAUAUCUCAUAGGUGCCAACGUCCUUAGCCAAGAAACUACCAGUAUAAGUUCCGUCUUUGUUGUCAACAAACAUCAUUGUCGAAAAGCCAGAUCUAUUGACUGAAGCAACCUCAAGUUUCAAUUUUGACUGCUCUGACAGAACUGGAUUGGAGUAUGAAUCCAGGAGCUGUAUAACUACUUCACUUUUUGCAAGCUUCGGUACUUUUGAAGCAAACUCCACAACCCCUGAAAGGGAUAGAUUCACCUUCCCUGGAGAACAGAUGAAUCAGUAUGCCACACGCAUUUUGAAUUAAAUAUCAAAUGCAUCAAAGCAGAAAAGGUAGAAAAAAUGCCAUCUGAAACACAGUAAGAGAUAUUCACCUGAAAUAUAUGGGGGAAAAAACCCACGUUAACAACAUUUAUAUAAAGCAAGAAUUUAAAAGUUCUGUUUCAAAUUAUAAUGAGUACUUUUACAUAUUAAGUAGUAAAUGCCAAACUUCCCAAAAUCUAAACUGACUGGAUAUACAUUACAAGGCAUGAAUCACUAAAUACUUUUUGCAUUUUCUAUUGCUUAGACUAUGUUUGCACAUUCAGGGGGUUAAGACAUUACUUAAUCACCCCAAAUUAAUAUAUACAGUACUUUACAAUGUACCUGCACUUACUACCUUUCUGAAGGGAUUGCCACCAUUUAGUGGAACAUUUCCACAAAAGAUAGAGAUUUCAUACGUCCCACUCUUUUCAGGUACAAAAGCGACCUCAAAGUUACUUGCGCUGAACCUUGUGUUCUCGGUAGACUACAUCCACAGCUAACAAUUAUCACUGUCUUCAAUGUGGUACAUAUAGCAAAAAAUUUUAAAAUGAAAACCUGAAUUUUACCUUAUUUUUUGCACCAUCAGUUGAAGGAGUAAGUUUGUCAAGUGUUCCAGCAAAAGUACCUGUUAUAGCAGUCAAGCUCAUCUAUCAAAGUGACAACAAGAUGGUGUAUAUUGAAGCAUAAACUAGAUGCUCAUUCUCAUACCCAUUUCGGCUUUCUUUGGACGUAUCCUUGGUCGUAACUGUUUUAAACUGGAUUCAUGCAGAAUUUUUACUUGCAGCAUAUCUAAUUCAGCUGGAGAAGGAUAUAAAUAGGCAUCUCUCAAGAACACAGAAAAAGUUGAAACUUCUCCAGCAAAAGAGUGAUUUAAACCAGUUCCAUUGACAACGCUGUUUGUCCCAUCACAAUAGCCUGCUCAGUUUCAGAAGUUACAAGAAUAGGAGUUACAGGUUCAGAGCGGAACAAGCUAGCUACUCUUAUUUAAACAAGAUGAGGUAAUAUAAUGACAAAACUUUUUCCUAGCAGAAACAGAGAAAACACGUCUUUUACAUAAAUAUAAGAGUCCAUCUAAACGUAAAGAUACUAAAUGAAAGCGCUUUUAUAACAACCUUUCCAUAGUGCAGGUAUGAGAUCAUAUAUACACAUACAUUUGAUGUCUAUAACAAGCAAGCCUCCAAGUCUCUAGUAUAUUGGGUACGUUGAGGGUAUGUGUGGGUGUGUCUGUGCAAAACCAGGGAAGGGGGAGCAAAUGUUACGGCAAAAUGGCUUUGGAGUCCAACAGCUGACAUCAUGAAGUAAUUUCCAAAAAGGUUCUUGAAAUUUUUAGAUAAUCUUAAUGACACAAGCAUUUUUGUGCCUUCACAGAAAACAUAACCUGCCAAUUUCCAUGUUCUAUUUCAAGUUUCCUUUUUACUAUUUUAAUCCUAUCUUGAAAACACCCUUGAAUCUCUACAGAUUUCCUUCUACUGUUAGUUGCAGUAGUUGACUUCUGCAUGUGCAAUCUCUGGCAAACUUCCACAGCCAUACGUGUAAAAAUAUCACCAGCUAACAGAAAAAUAUCAGGCCCCAUUCAAUCAAUUUGGAAAAGUAGAUUUCAUAUCCAUGUUUGUAUCUACAACAUAAGGUACUUAAUAAAAGCCAAAGAGUCUAGAUCAAUACCUACAUAGACUUUGAAGUCAUAUGGCACGUUAGAGAUGAGAGUGUUGUGCUUAUCAGAGAUCAUGAGCAUGAAGUUCCCAGGCUCAACUAGACUGAAAGAAAAUGACUGAAUACCCAGCCCAACAUCUUCGAAAACCAGAUCCGACACUGGCAUAGAUAAGUUUGUCCCCUUCUGCACAACUUCAACAUCAAAUGCAUACGAUCCAGGGACAAGAUUUCCAUAAGAAUCAUGCUGGUGUAUAAAAGCUUCCAUCAUUGAGAACAGUUGGAAGGCUUUUGUUUCAAUACGCCAGCGUACUAAACAAUUAGCAACAUCUAAAGUUCCUGUACAGAACAUUCAGAAGGGGUAUAAACUACAGAGAACAAAGCAAAGAUCUACACAUGAUGCAGUACAACUUUGAGACGAUAUAAAGUAGAAUCAGCAGCAUUUCAUUAGUUCAAAUGUCUUAAGGUGUACCAUCCAACUGUUAUUAAGAUGCGAAGUUUUUGGUACUUUGUAUAUUUAGAUGAGUGGCUGGGACCCAAGAAAACACAGCAGUGACAUGGACUUCCACAAGAACAAUGCAUUUAAAUAUGAAGAGCAAGUGCCUCUUGGAGUAAUGUGAAAGGCAGAAUGCAAUGCCAUAAUCUAAUAUUAGAAGAGUUACACGCCCAAAACGGAAGGAAGAGAUUAGAGAAUAACUGCAACACCAGUGAAUGAUGCAUUUGACCAGGCAGGAGAUUUAGCUAAUUCCAUUAUUUACUUAAUAAAAUGAUGAAGUUUGAAAUAAAUAAUCGCUACCUCUUUUAACCCCUAUUUCACAUGCACACUCAAUGGGCCUUUAAAUCUUAAGUUUCAUACCGCCCCCCGCCCCCCCCCCUCUCCUCAUCUGAUAAAAAUCACCAAUAAACUUCUGCAGGCAAAUACAGCACAGGCAGAGAAUCCAAAUGAUGAAUUGUUAAAUAAGAUGCAGUUGUUGGAGGAGCAGGAUGGAAAGGCAGAGGUACGUAUUUGCCUUUUCAGGACUCGCAAACCACAUCAUAAGUUAAUGCUUAGGAAAUCACCUGUUUUCACCUUGAAUGGCAAUGGGGAGCCAGUCAACGUUUGAUUUUUCUCUCGAACAUGAAGUAAGAGGUUCCCAGAUGAGGCCACAACAAAUUCAAUACUGAGAUAUCCUAACUGAUUCCACCCCUUGUCAGUAAUGUUAAGCACGUCUGCAGCAGAACCAUCCAGACUAGUUGCUGACAACCAAAAACUAUAGGACUCUGAUCCUUUACUGAUUGAAGAGACAUUAUUCCCAAAUGCAUCUUUAGGGAGUAUCAAAAUUGUAGCUUUUGUUCCAGCGACAAACUCGUUUGCUCCAUCCAUCCACAAGACAAUACCAGCAGCUAAAUACAUUUUUCCUUCACAUUCAUAGCAGUAUGUAAGCGGUCAUCAUUGUACAAAUUCAUUGAUGAUAAAACUGGCAGCGUUAAACUGAAACAAUAUGUGCCCGCAGAACUGAUAUUAAUUACAUUCUUGUACUUAAAAAGUACUAGCAUGAUUGAGAUAUAGAAAGUCAGUUUUAUCCUGCUAUACAAACAUUGUUGAUUCUCUAGAUCUAGAGCCAACAUAUCUCAUAAUACGAGAUGAUCGUUGAAAGAAAAGUAACAGAAGAGCAAAUGAGAGUCAUGAUUACAUUGUACGUAUGGUCAAAACGCUGCUAGCCCUCAUUGUACAAUUGAAAGUUCAUCCAGGACAGGACGAUUGCACAUGUAAGAUAGCAACUUGUCAAGAAAAACAAGUUUCCCUAAACUGUGAUAAACGUCACUAAAAGGAAAACAACUGAACGUUACAAAUGAGGACAUUCUCACUGCAUCCAGUGACUGGAUUAUCAUACAAUGAAAUAAAAGAUGCAAAACAAACCUGGAGUGACUCGGAAAUGAAGGGAAGAGUCCAAGACAUUGAAAUUUUCUUCGGUGAUCAGCACAUUGAACAAUCCAACCAUAAUAGGGAUGAAAGAUAUCCUCCAGUUGUUAACAUCAACAUCAAACUGUAAAGAAACCCCAGAAAUGUAGGAGCUAUUACCCAUCUUAUCGUUGACUGUGAUGUUAGGAUUAAAGGGGUACUUGUACUUUCCACUCUCAAAAUUUCCUAGAACUUUGACCUUUAUAGUUGCUAUAUCCCCUGCCACAAAUGUGUCAUUGCCAUCAAACCAACUGAAAGCAAAAGUGGGCAUUGAUGGACUCUCUGCAACAAAUACAAAAAUGAUUCAAUAAAUAAGUAAAACAAAAUCCACCUCCUAGAAUUGAUGUAGAAAUGCCGGCAUUACCUGAUUUUGUGACUAGAAGACUAAAAGAUGGAAACAGAGAGGCAGUGAGGAAGGAAAUGAUAAGUAUGAUUUUAGUAUAUAAAAGCAUUCUUGAGUGUCCACGUACGAGAUUACAGUGAAUUGCAGAAAUGAUUUGACUUCAAAAAAAUUUUGGUGGGGAAGAAAGAUCUGGUAUAGGGCGGGAAAAGUUCAAGUUGAUGAAUAGCGGUUAUGAUAUCCGUGUGGAAGUCUGGGUUAUGGUUGGUUAUUGACAGUUACUUGAACUCAUUUUCUGUCGCAAAUAUUUUUUAUUUAUUGGCAGUGUGGUAAAAGAAAACAAAGAUCAAUUGUAUUUUCAGAUUUUUCUUGCAAUAGCUAUUACUAAUAUAAAGAUCAUUCUUUCGAUAGCAUUUUUGUUCAAUCAUGAAUAUUAGAUGUGUCAAAAUGAAGGACAAGGGGCACAAACGGUUGCAGGUCAAUCGUUUGUGGCGGUUUGUGCAUUUUCCAACAGCGCGUAACAUUUUUUGCACGUCGCGUAACUUUCUUUACACACGGAGUAACUUUAGAACAAAUUUUUGUGGACCCCACACAUGGCGUGAAAAUCGAGUUACAUGUUGUAAUUUGAGCCGCACAAAUUUCUGAGGCCACAUCGUGACCGUGAACCUUCAGGAACGGUUGUCAAAAUGAGUGACAACCGUUCCUGCCCCAUUUCCCAAAAUGAGUGAUUCGGGUGGAUUUGAACGGGUCAUAAUUUGAUAAUGGGUAUAAUUAGGUCAACCCACGUAUACGCAUUUAAUAUAUGGGUACGAGUAUAUCCAAUAUCUAUUUAUGAGUCACUUAAAAUUCUAUUUUUUUUUAGCAUAUUGUUUGACAAGAAAUAACGAUAUCUUAUUGUUAUUUGAUUGAUAAGAAAUUGAAAUUUAUUUUCUUAACACUCACUAAAAAUUGAAUUUAAAUAUAUAAUUAUUUUAAAUGAGUAUAAACGGAUGAACCGAAUCAACCCAUUAUCAAUCAAUUAGAUGAGUUUAAUUGAGUACCAAUUUGAACCCAUUCAAAAUUAAUGGAUAGGUUUGGACAGGUUAUUGGUGGACGAGUUUGAACGGAUCAACAUAAUUGAAUUGUAAUUAACACAUCUAAUAAACAGGAUCUGAGAACAAGAAUGACUAAGGAUGAUAAUCUUUCCAGGGUCCAAGCCAUGAUAAAGGCAAAUAUUUUGUAAGAAAGAAUAUUGAAGUUAACCAUGAUUCACGUAGGAUACUGUUGGAGCAUCGAACGGACAAGUACUUUUCAUAUUAUGAAACAAUUGAACGUUUGCACAAUCAAGUGUACAAAAGUAAAGAUAUAGUGAAUAAUAGAUUUGCAGUUUGGUAGACUUUUACUAGAAUAGAUGUAAAAGAUGCAUGUAAAAUUUUCAUGUCGAGUGGUCUGCGCUUUUUCGAUUCUAAUAUCUCAUCGCCUACAUUUACAUCAAAUUUUGAUCACGGGGUUGCAAACUAGUUAUGUUUGAAAACCACAUGUUAGACAUACGUAUCGAUUACCUUUUUUUUUUUUUUGGGGUAAAAAAAGAAGACUGUUGUGUUUGAUAACCAUGUUAGAUAUAGGCAUCGGUUACCUCUUUUGUUUUUUUUUUUUUGGGUAAAAAAAGAAGACUUGAAUAAUAAUAAUACCGCUUCAUAGCACAUUGCUUUUAUCUAAAUUCGUAUAAUUUUAUCAUUUUAAACUGAUUAGCAAUAAAACGUUUCCUGCAACAAACAUUCCCUUUAGGACUUUCGGUCUUGCCGCCGACGACCUGCCAACAUGCAGCAGAAUUUCCAAAUCCAGUACUUCGUAAUUUUCACCGCACUUAACUUCACAGGAUUAUUACAAUUCAACUCAAUUCAACAUUGAUAACAAUUUCCAUGCAGUGGCUGAAGAAAUCUUUUAGCAAGGCAUGAAACUCCAUCACAGCACAAAGGAAUUUUAAGUGUGCCGUUUUUGUUGUCUCUGUUGCUUGGUUGAGGUGGAUGCUAGAAAACAAGAAUGGGAUUAAAGAAAAAAGAAAACAUUGCCGCAUGUUCAGAAUUUCUAAUUCAACAAUAAGGUAACAACAGAAAAGCUAACUGAUUGUCUCCAAAACAUGAAGUAUGACAAAAUUGUCUCGCAAAAAUUGCCAGUUCGGCUAUAGAUAGCACCACCAAAACAAGGAGACACACCCCUUCAAACUCUAAAGCCUCUGCUAUUUCUUCUUCCCCUAGCUCUCUCAAAUUUCCUACCCGUGGACCUAACAUAUGGUUUGGUGUGGCUAUGAGGCACACCGGGAGCUGGGCCAAAAUGUUUCACGGCCUCGCGUGCAUUCUUUGGGCCUCUAAGUAAAACCUGCAACAACAAGAACAGUGACUUGUUUGAUGUAUUCAUUUCGCUUAAAAGAAGGAUAUCUAUCAGAGAUUGAACUUUCUCUAAGCAAACUAACUACAGCUCUGUCUGAAAAUAUUCUCCACAGUGUUGGCAAAGUUAGAACCCCAGUGUUUUAACUAAAUUCAAAUGGAAAAAGGUAUCAAAUGGAUGCUGACCACUAAGCCACACACCCUGUGUCAUAGAUAUCAUCGGCAAAUAGCAAAUCAUGGCCUCGAAUAGUUUUCAGAGACGGGCACAACAGACAAAGUGCCUUGUUUGGGGGACAAGCAUGCUCCUCAGAUGAAUCUAUCGUAUUCUUUGUCCUUAGUUUUGUCAAACUGUUUGGCUUUCCUAAGGACUGGCUACUUGGAAAAAAACCAGACAGAAAACAGAGACAUGAAAAUGAACCAUGGAACAGACUCAACUAGAGGCUUUUGGGAAUGUAAUUUUAGAUGCAUACCGUGUUCUGACCAAGAGGAGCCCUCAGGGCCAACUGAUCAAAGGUCAAGCACUCUCCUCCAGCCUUCUCAAUUCUUGCUCUGGCCCUCUCUGUGAACCUCAAAGCAGCCACCUUCAAAGUUGGCACUUCGUACGCUCUAGUAUCAUUAGUUACUGUUCCAACAAGCACUGCAAUUUUGUCCUCCUAGAUAUAAAACAAGAUGAAUGCAAUUAGCUUGAAUAGUUUAUAUGACAUGCUAUGCAGUUAAAUUAAAACUAUUUAUAUGACAUGCAACUUAAUUUCUUCUAUUCAAAGCACUUUUUGCUUCCCCUAUCCCAUGAAUCUGCACAACUUCACUUGAUAUUCAAGCUAAUUAUCAGUGGCAGCAAUAUUAGUUUUGGGCUAUUAAAAGCUAUAUUAAGUUUUGGGAUGUUAAAGAACAUCUUAAAGUAAUCACUUAUAUUAGCUACACAGAACAAAAGGAAAACAAAUCAAGGCAAAAAAUAAAAAAAGGCUGAACUUUGUAGCAAAACCCAUUUUGGAUAUCACUAACAACUAGCUCAAAUGGACAUCAAUGAGAAGCAGAAGUCAAGGUCAAUCAAACGAAUCCCCAAGUAAAACUCCAGGAACUAAGCAAAGUACCUUUCCUUCCAUGAACUUGACAAGGCUGGAGAGUGACAGAGGAGGCUUGUUGGUCUUACUCAUGAACAACCUCUUCAGCAGUACAGCAUUGAACCUGCUCCCUGUCCUCCUCACCAAAAAUCGGUACAACUACAACGAACACGAAGCAUUCUAUAUGAAUUCAAAUACCUCUAUUCCCACCAAACUUGUACAUAUAUUACAUCAUCAACAAAAAAAAAAGAGAAAGGAAAAACGUAAUCUUUAUGAUUAUGCGCUUGACUAAAGCUGAAUGAAAUUCUUCGGAGCAAUACUUACUAACCAGCCAAAAUUCAUGUGUUUGCAAAUCUAAGCUAGACAAAUGGAUUUCAUUCACGAACUAUCAGCAAUCCUUAUACUUUAUUUCUGAUUACAAAUAUGAAUACAAAUAAAAUUCUUCACAGCAAUGGUUUACUUGACAAAUUCAUGUGCUCAUACAUAACGUAGUAUAAAAACAGAUUUUUCUUUAACAAACACACGAAUAUCAGACAGAGACUUAAAAAAAAAAAAAAAAAAAAAAAAAGCCAAAGUAGGCACCUUGACUAGGAGCUUGAGGUAGAUGUCAUGAGAUUUGGGGGCGGUACGCUUAGUCUUCUUAACUUUGCCGCCGGCUUUCAAAUCAAUACCCUGAAAAAUACCAAAAUUAUACACCACAGAAUUGGAUAUUAGGCUGAAAUCUUCGUCCCAGCGCAACUAAGCAGAGGGAGAGAAACGUAGAAAUUACCAUUUCUUCUUUUUCGAAGUCUUGGCGAAGACGAGAUUUCUGUCGGAGGCCGCGGGCUUGGCUGCUAAUGGAGUACUGGACGGCUGCUCCUCUAUAGUUUUGGAGGUUUUCUUAUUAGGGUAGAAAUGGGAUAGGGUUUUUGCCUGGGGAAUUGGCUCCCGUGACAAGCUGGUGAUGCUGUUUAUUACAGACCACUUGGAUCUCGAUCGUAGAAGGGCCAAGUCCGGUCAAUAAAGUAAUUUGGCUUUUCCUUUUUACUCAAGUAUUUGCAUUAAUUAUCACUGUGAAGGGGUUUUACUAAUAUUUUUUAUUUUCUUCUUAAUUUCCAAAGAGAAAUUACACAUUUUCUUUUUUAUUUCAGUGUAUCGAUUUUACGCCUAGCCUUUUUCACCUUUUUUUUUUUGUUUUUUAUACCUAUACGAUGAAUACCAUCAAUGUCUAUUGAAGUUACAGCAAUGAAGGCAACAAUAAAUACGGAAGCUGAGAUCAAUAUAAAGUAGGGAUCAUCAAAACACUAAACCAGCCCCGCUGAUAGUUAGAUUGGUUCGAAGUAAGUCCUGUGAUUGACUUCGACGUGCUAUCUCAUUGUACAUUUUUUGACCAAGAUUCUACACAAUCUUAGGGGAUCCAAUUGAAAAUCAGAUCGGACUGACCGGUUGAAUUGCGAACUGGCCAUACCUCCGAUCUAAUUCAAUUAAAAAAAUCAAAAAAUUAAUUGAACCGGUCAAGAUCGGUUGAAUCGGUAAAAAUCGGGAGGUUCAAUUGAUUUUUAUGAAGUAUUUAUUUUCUAAAAUAAAUAUUUUAGUUUUAUUCAAAAUUCUUAAUACUAAAAUGAAUAAAAAAUUAUUAAAGCUUUGAACUGGAGUCAAACCAGUUGACCGAUCAAAUCGUGAACCGAAAUGUUCACUCUUUGGUUCGAGUUUUAAAACAUUGAGGGGAUCGCCCUCCGUGUGCUACAUCGCUAUGUGUUUUUGAAAUAAGGCUCUACAUAGUUUUAGGGGGUUAGUUUGACCGAAAUGUUGCCCCUAAGUGAAAAAAAAAAAUCAAAACACUAUACAAAAAAAAAAAUCAAAACACUAAACCACCCAAUAUAAAGACAAUUUUUCAUGCGGGUUAUGCAAUUAUAGAAGCAACCCCAUUGGCUAUGACCAAAAAAUGAGAGGAAUUUGAAAUCUCGAUAGUUCUUUGUUCAAAAUCGUAUCGGUUUUUAUUAAUAAAAAAAAAAUCUCGUAAUAAAAGAAACAUAGGAGUUUGUUACUAGGUAUUUGACCAAAUAGGAUCGUCCAUUCCUAUAGAACAUAUCACUAAAAUAGCUCUAGAAGGGAUAAAACUAGGUGAAUCGAAAAGGAUUUAAGUUAUAUAAUUAUAUUUGUUAAUUUAAAUUUUUUUAUAAGAAAAGCUUGUAUGCAAAAUAUGUGAAGAUUUUGGCUGUUUUUUAUUUGAUUGAAUCUUAUAUACUCCAUCCCGCAGUCUCUCACGACCCUGAAGAAUCCUGCCAUGUCACUCAUGUUUGCCAUUUCUUCUGCUCUUCAAAACGCACCGUAUCGAGCAAUCUCCAUAAAAAACAGCCAAAAUCUUCACAAAUUUUGCAUACAAGCUUUUCUUGUAAAAAAAUUUAAAUUAACAAAUAUAAUUAUACAACUUAAACCCUUUUCACUUCACCUAGUUUUAUCCCUUCUAGGGCUAUUUUAGUGAUAUGUUCUAUAGGAAUGGACGAUCCUAUUUGGUCAAAUACCUAGUAACAAACUCCUAUGUUUCUUUUAUUACGGGAUUUUUUUUUAUUAAUAAAAACCGGUACGAUCUUGAACAAAGAACUAUCGAGAUUUCAAAUUCCUACUGUCAAUGUAUACACUAUCACGAUGGGAUGGAUGACAUGUAUUCAAAUUUUACACAUGUAUCAUAUAUCUAAUGAUGAUAAUAUAUACACUAAUAUUGUAUAUAAGAUUAAUCUUUUUUAUUUUGGGCAGAAUUGUUGUAGUUAAAAAUCAAGAGGGCCGGAUUGCGGUUAAAUCCCAUUUUUCUGCCUAAACAAAAUAACCAAUGACACUUCGUGCUAAUUUAGCUAGCCUUCGUCUUUAGUGUCAACUUUUUUUAACCAUUUGGCCGUGAAGAAAAUAACAAUGCAUGCAUCUUGUGCAUCAAAUUAUUCUCAAGUCAAUCAAUCCUACCCCCAUGCUAACGUCCAGCUAAAAUGACAAUUGAAGAGAAUCCUUUUCCUGGACAAAACAUCAAAGUUAUCUGUGUAGCAACAGUUCAGUAUAGUAUCUGAAUUUGGCUUGUUUUUUAAGGAUCAUCAGUUCAUGAAUUUCCAAUUCAUGUUUGACAGGCCAUUUCAAUUGUCAAUUUAUAAUCAAGUCGAAUGUACAACAAUAUACAUGAUCACAAAGAAAAAGAAGAUUCAUGAUUGCAUGAGCUUGAGGAAGCCAAAGCUCCUGUUCCCAGCCUUGUGCUUCAGCAUCAUUGACAAACAGAGAAUUUAGCAGCUUCAGAGUCUCAGUAACCUCGAUUUGGCAUUAAAAACCCUGAUAUUUCAAGCUCAAAAAACGCCUAUGCAACUCAAAAGCUAGUCAGAUCCACAGCUCUGGAGCCAAGGCUUGACCCUUAAGUCUAGUUCAUGGAGCAGUCACCUCAUAUGCAACAUCAACAGCUCUGGUUUUUCAAUGUACAGCUUCCAUUCAUUGCAGAACCUUGCAACUGUUGCACCAUCAAGGACUCUAUGAUCAGCACCAAUAUUAACCUGAGAUAGUAAACGCCAAAGUGAGAGAGAGACAAAAUAAACUCCCAAUUAGCAACAAACAUUUUGCAACCUUAUGAUGCACUAAUAUCAAUAAUGGCAGGUUGCUGGACAAUUAUAUUUGCAAAAUGUGGAAUUGUUUAUACUGGGGAAACUUAGUGAACCAUUCACUACUUACGGUCAAGACUGACAUAGGAUACACAUUUCCAUCUUCAGCAAACUGAGGAACUUUCUGGAUGCGGCCAAGUGCAAUGAUGCAAACUUCGGGCACAUUGACUAGUGGGGAACCAAACUUUCCACCAAUUGCCCCUAUGUUACUUAAGGUUAUAGUUCCACCAGUUAUAUCAUCAGGGUUAAGUUUAUUUGCCAAAGCCAAUUGUUGAAGCCAUGAUAAUUCCUUUGUUAUCUGCAGAUAGAAUAUCAAUCAAUCAACAACUCUAGGCAAGCAAAAUUGCAUAGUCCACCCUGACCUGAAUCCUUUUUGUCCUUUUCAACAAAAUAAAUAAUCAAAUAGGAAAAUGAUGCCCUGAAUUGAGAGAGAGUACUAACCUCCAAGAUCGAUAGAGAUUGGACCUUCUUAAUAUUUGGUACCACCAAACCAUGUGGAUUAGCCAUAGCAACUCCAACAUUAUGAGAUCCUUUUGAAGUAUGAAUGAAAUCAAGGUACAAGAUUUAAGUGAGCAACAAAUCAAGAGAGUUUUCAUGUUAAUGAUCAGACAGUUCAAUAAUGGAUGAACUUCUAUCCCUGUCAUCACUAUCAAUAAUUUCAUGAUGAAAGUGACUAUCAUACGUUUCAGUUGCUUAAAAUAACAAACUUCUAGCAUCUCUGAAUGAUUACAGAUACACCUGAAUCAAACUGUAUACAACAUCUACAGAUCCAAACAUGAAACUAAAAGAAAAAUAACAAUGAUUUUGGAAAGUUCAAGACCUAAAUCUUCCUUCACUAAAAUGAUGACAAAUACACCUUGAAGCAAAUUAUUUUGUUGAAUGCAAGCUCAAAAUUAUCUCAAGGACCCAAAAGAAGCAGUCGAGUUCUGGUGAGGUGGCUACAAUACGAGGAAAAGACCCAAGGCAACAUGUGGCCAGAACAAAAAAGGCAUAUCAGUGAUCAUAAGUGUGCUUAACAGUGAUCUCUUGUACAUCAUGUAUACAACAACGUAAUCCUGAGAUUUGGCACUUCAUAGACUACUGACCUUUAAGUGUAACCUCAUUCAGUUCUUCAUUCAAGCUGCUGUUCAGCCAUGGAUACUUACUGAUUGCCAUGGAAAGUGACUUUAUCAAGAUGGGAAGGAAAGUGAACUUGACAUCAGGAUCAGAAUUCUCAUUAUGAAAGGAAGAUUUGAGCUCUACAAGUGCAUCACAAUUUAUUUCUUCCACAUAAUGAAAAUGAGGAAUUUUAGCAGCUGAUGACAUGGACUUUAUCAUAGCACGUUGAUAACCCCUGAAAAGUCAAAUUCCAUUAGCUCAUCAUUUCCACAGUUAGCCAACUGAAGUUCAUCAUCUAUAUCAUAGCCUAUAAAAAAAAUAUACUUCCCCUGCCGCACACCACAACAGCAUUAAGUAAAAUCUACUAUAAUGAUGUCAAGUUCUGUAGAACUUGACAUCAUCAACCCAUAAAAGAUUGCCAGAGGUUAAGACAUAUAAACAUAUUGCGAAGAAAUGGACUGGCAAUCCUCUAUCAGAAAGACCAAAUUACCAGAAAACCUCAGCUUCCUCCUAAUGAAAAUAGAUGUGGAGUAAUGGACAGAACAUAAAAUUCUAUUAAGUCCUCUCAGUGAAAGAGUAGCAGUAUGAAAACUGAAACAGAGAAAUGACGGAGAGAAAAGAAAAAUAAUUCUUCAACAAGUCAAACAUAGAAGUCGAGAAAAUUUUAAAUAUAUGUCUUCAUUCACAGAGAAGACAUGCCUUAAUGUAACAGUCUUAUCUUCAAAUUCCCAUCCGUAUGCGCCGGAAAUACCCUCGAAGCUGUUGUCAGCUACCUGUGACUGCUCUCCCGAAUAAGCACCCAAAGAUGUUGGAUCCUUAAUAUUUUCUUUCUUAGCAACAUAAUUUAGGACAUCCUCUCUCAACACUCUUCCAUCUUUACCAGUUCCAACAACAUCAUUUAUAUCAAUACCAUAAUCUUUUGCAAGACUACGAACAGCAGGGGUGGACAGAACUUUCUUAAUGGCACUCCUCUGAAGCACAGAACUGGGAGAAUCACCUUCAAGACCAUUGCAGUCCAAAUUAUCCAAAGGAUGCAAAGUUUGCAUAGGGCAAGCAGUUUCAUCAACAAUCAUUUUCAAUAGUGUUUCUCCAACCUGCAAACCAAACGAUGAUGAGGAUAUUACAUUCUUUGAAAGACCAAAAUCAAGACUCUGCAGAUAUGGAUUGUACAAGAGGGCAAACAAAAGUUCCAAAAAGGGACGAUUCUACCAAUGCCAAAAUAGUAGAUAGGUGGAGGAAAUUCUGGACUGAAAUGGUGAUCAAGACAAGCCAGAAUGAGUAGCCAUCGAUGGUCAAUCUUAAAGAAGAUUAACUAUGCCCAUAUUUUCUAGAAAAGUAAUCGUUGAAGGUUUAGAACAAAGAAAAUUAUUGGCAGUCCCACACUUACAUAUCUUGAAACAAAUAAUAUAUAGCCACAGCUCAUAGAGAGAAUGGACUUGUGUAAAAGCAUAUGAAGGUGCAUGAAAGACUGGUUUUUUAUGUUACCUUUACAAUGUUACCAGGAACAUGGAGAAUUUGAGAAACUUUUCCUUUGUAACGGCUGGUUAUUUCGAUGGUAGCUUUGUCACUCUGAACUUCACAAAGUGGUUGAAACUCUUCAACUUCAUCACCCUGCAAGAUUUUUUUUUUUUAAUCUUCAUUUGAUAUAAGUAGCAGUCUCACAUGGACAACCUGGGAAAGAUGUCUCUGGUCUGCAAUGUCGCAUUCACUGUUCUAACCAAGUAUCAAGGACAAGCAUGUUGCACAUGACUCGAAUACCUAUCUUAAGCUGCACGUAGUUGAAGUUUGUUAUCCCAUGCAUGCCUUCAAAGAUUUUCCAUGUAGCAGUGUUUCAGAACAGCUAAGUACUAUUUUUAUUUGGCAAGUCUUCUCUAACUUAAAAAGUCUUUCAAUAUUUUGUCGAGUCUCCUGAUUUUCGCUUUAGAUAAAGAGCAUUCAGACUUUCAAACACGUGCAAGCCCCAGAUAACUCGUGACAACAUCCAUGAUACAUAGGUUGUUUCUGGAUACUUCCAAAUUUUUGCAUGAAAUAAAAUAACAAGCAUUUGUACAUGUGACAAAAGAACAACUAAAAACGGUGUAUAGCCCAUCUCGUGCUAACAACAUGGGAAGGAUGAAUAAGCUAGACACUAGUGGAUAGAAAUUUUCUUCAGAAAAGAUAAUAGCAGUAGGCUGGGUGAUAUGCCAAAAUACAGCCCAGCAUAGUGAUUCAACUAAGCUUAGAAAUAGAUCAUAACUAACCUCUUGAAUAAACCAUUUCAGGAGUUCACAUUCAGCAAUACCUUCUCCAGUUUGUGCCAAAGGAAUAUCAACUAUCCCAUCAACCGGAGAAUCAACUACAACUUGAGUUGAAAAGCAACAUCUUCUCAUACCAAAUUCGUAAUUUGACUGCAAAACAACAAGAAGAGAGAAAUUAACAAGCAAGAAUAAUGAAUAGAAACUGCAAUUUCCAGUCCACUUCACAAGUUCUUGAAAAAAAAAAUUUGCACCAACACAAGAAGCCAGCAUCUAUAUUCCUAUUCUAACAGACAAAUCUCAACACAGGCACAGCAUACAAACAUAAUAUCCAAAAACACAACUUUUCGGCUCUUCAUAUGGAAAUGGCUUCACAUAGAACGAUGUCUUGUUUAGAAUGAGCACAUGGAUAUCCCUCCAGGGACACAUUUUGCCUUGCAAACCGUAUAACAAAUCCCACCCUUUUUCCACUUCUACUUGGAACAAAUACACAAUUCAACUCACCAGACUACUCAAGCGGUAGGACUACUGGCAUAAAAUAGUUUUAACAUGAAAAAAAUAUUCCAAAGUCCCCAGCUUUUAACAAAAGGACCUUUAUGAAAACCUUACAAAUGCCAUUCAUUUCAUUCACCUUAAUGAGUCGGAUAAAACAAUCUGACUUCUGUGAUUCUGAAAAUUAAACUAAAUUAACAUCCUACAUGGGCAUCAAAGCACCACAAUUCACAGGAAAAAUAAACAAUAAAAUGGCUACAGAAUUAAGGGAGGGAGCUAUAGCACACGACUAAAUGACGAAAAUCUGCUUUAAGAAAACAUAAUCACAAUCACCGGUAGCACCAAAGGAAAUCCCAGAACAGGAGUUUAGCUACCGACAAUAAAUUCAAUGAGAAACAGAGUUAAUGAUGGUUGAUUACUUCAUUGAGCUUAAUGUAUUGCAGAAACGACAUCGUUGAGCAGGGGAAGAUGGAAGCUUGGGAAGUCGAACCCAGUGAUAGAGUGGUUGUUGGGCCUUGGCCAGGACCACCGGUGGCCACCGGCGGCCGAGUAGGAGCAGUAGACGAGUAUAACCACCGCCGGCAGGUAAUCCAUGGCUUCCGCUGAUGCAUUCGCCGGCAAAGCAUUGUGCAAUGGUAAGAGCUGGAGUAGCGUGCGACCGCUUCGUUGCAAGUAACGUACUAGCAACUAAUUAAACCACUUGGGAUGGGAGGAUUUCUGCUUGGUUACGUUGUUUUUUUUUUUUUUUUUUCUGACAUUUUCUUAACGGAAGUCAAGAAUUCGAUAAUAAACCUAUAUCCCCGAGUAACCUUGCAACUUUUGAAGGCACCCAGGGGACUUAUAACCCAACCCACAACCCCCCCCAAUACCGAUGUGGGAAAGAAACCCCUACAGGGGCAAGCCCAGCAGGGCGGCUUCUGCUUGGUUACGUUGUUCAGUAGAUGGAACGUAAAAUUUUUAAAUUUGUUUAUUUAGGAAUUAUUGAGAUGAUUAGCAUUUGUCCUCAUUUGAGAUUUGCCUGCUACAAAUUUUUUAACAAGUUUAGUUAUAAUAUUUUUUAAAAAAUUUUUAAAUUAUACACUUUAAAAUAUUUAAAAAUUUACACAUUUCAAAAAAAUUUUCUACAAUUUUUAAGUAAAUUAUAAUAAAAUUUUAGACAAACACCCUAAAAAUUCACUUGUCAAACGGACCCAGAAAAGUUACUAGAGUUCUUUCCAUAAUAUAUUGCCAUAAAAAAUAUUUUUGAUUGUUUUUAUUUUGUCAUGAAAGAGAUGGUUAAAAUGGUACGGAUUAUUUUCUUUUGGAUAAUUUUUUUUUUUUUGGUGUACUGUGAGUAUGUAAUAGGUGUAUAUGUUUGUCAUAUGAUGAGCCUGGGCCCAAGAAAAUUUUGUGACUGUAACCAACUCUUUGAUCCUAUAGUAGGAGAGUAAGGCCCAAAUACUGAUAAACAGUCCAUCUAGCCCAAACUCAUAGACCAGAGCCAUUGGUCCUUUAUGAAAUACGCUUCGGGUUCCGACUGGUUGCUAUUGGGGCAGUUCUGUUGGGGCUAAAUUGAACUGCAUUAGCAGUGCGAGGUCUGGAAUUUUUUGAAUUUCUGGCUUCUUUCAGGUGUUUUAUGACAACAUAAUAAAUUUUGAAUAGAGGACUAGAAUAAUUGCGCUAAACUCAAAUCGCUUGCUACUAGUGCUUUUUGAUGAGGUUUGUCUUGUAGAAGUGCUCAAACCGGAUUUGUGAUCAAUUGCACGUAUGAUUUACUAUGCAAAAAAAAAAAAAAAGAAAAGAAGAAGAUGGUAUAGCCAUCUUUUUUAUUUCCCUAGGCAAAACAUGUAUCAAGUGUCUUCAUUUCUCCUUUUGAUUACUAAGGCCUUGUUUGAUAAUCCAAUUCAGCACUUCAAUUUUAUAAAUUCAGACCUUAACAUGUUAAAACGUGUUUAAUAACCAAAAAUUGAAUAUCUGAAUUAAUUAAAUGAUAUUAAAUUUUUUAAAUAAAAUUUGCUCCAAAAAAUAAGUGAUAAGCUAUGUGAUAUACACUCAAGAUUUUAGUACUUAAUAAUUCAAUAAAUUAAUGAAUUCAGACUUCUCACGUUUCAGUUUUUUAUCAACCGCACCCUGAGUGAGCUAGUCAUCAUUAAAAUCAUCAUCAUUGUAAGGAGCGCAGUUCUUAGAAGCUUGAUUAAUUUUGAAGACAGGGAUAAAUGGAAUUAAUAGGUAGGGGCAUGUAUACGGUCCUACCUGUUUAAAAUUUCACAAAAUGAUGCUGCUGGAAUCGAUCGUGCAAUGUGCCGGAUCGAGUUGACCAGUAACCGCUUCUUGCGAUUGUGACCUCACCAAAUUUUAGGGGACUCCUGUAAUGGGAUGGUGCUUUUUCCAUUUGUGAAAAGCUUGUCCUCCUCUUUUUCACGUCAAUGAAAAAAAAUUCUUGUACCCUCUUGUUACUGAUGUUAGAAGUAGUAAAGUGGUUCCUUCCUCUCCUGUACUCAUGUUACUGAUGAAAAAUGUGUGCCCUUUUGCCCAUGACACUCAUUUCUUUUUUAUUCUAGUUGGAAGUCGUCAGAAGGUGGUGAGAAUUAGGACAAUGUCACGUCUCAUACACUAGCGUACAUCCUUAUAGAAAGAUUCCCACAUGGCUAAUGUGCACUUUUGCAUCAACUACUGCUAUUCUCAUCUUCUAGUCCUUCCAAAUACUUAGCUAGCUUAGCAUGUCCUGCUUUAUAAGGAAAAACUCUCAUCUUCCACAACUUUUAUUAAGUUUUUCGUGGCUUCAUCAUCAUCACAUGCAUGCAGAGUUGCAUGGACAGUUUCAUCUUUCUUUUAAUGCCACAUGCCAUGUGAGAAGUGAGGACCAAGAUGGCCUAAACAAAUUGUUUGGACUCCAUGAGUCCCAAGACACUGGAGAUAUGACUUCACUUCAGUUGUUAUGCACAAUGUUUGCCUGAAUUCCAUCGUGUCCAGAUGGUCCAUGAAACGUUUUGAGCUUAAUCAAUUAAUUUGCAGUGCCCAUGAUUCUCUUCACGUUUCCAACAUAAUGUUGAGAAGGAAAUAAUGGAUCAUGAACUCCUUUGCAUCUGAUACCAAAUGAAAACAACGCGUUCCCAAGCAAGUUCUCCCCAUGGAAAAAUACAUUUGCUGAGCAGAAGCACACUCUACUGUCAUGCACGUUGUCCUUUUUAAUCAAGAGAUUCCAAGUGGGGUCACGAAGUUUUUUUACCCUAGGGUGUCUGAGCAGCUAGACCAAUUUGGCAGAAACAAGAAAUUAUCAGUCCAAAGUGAAAAGGUAGGGAAGAAAAUAAAAUGUGUUGGUGCGUGAAACGUAGACUUGAAGGCAUGAAGGGGAGCAUGCCUAUGAAGAUAAAGGCUGAGCCAGUGGAUUGUCCGCAUUUCCAUGCGCAAGAAAAUUGGUGGCAUCCCAUCCAAAUAUAACUUCAAACUUGGACUGUGACUUGCUGUUGUGAUCCGGUCUUCGGGAUGAUGGUGAAUUGAUAUUAUUAUUAUUGAUAACCAGAGAAAUUUCAGCUUUCAGACAUGCUGGGAAACUGUCUUCAAUUGCAAUACUACUCAACACAAUUGCACUGCUGGAAUGAUACCGAUGGCUCCACUUACAAAUAGAGGAAAUUUGGGUGUCCACUGUCCACCCUGCAGGAAAGAUUUUGGCUUUGGAAUUAACUAUGGUUAAUAAAUUCGUGGCUCGUUUCUCUCUCUCUCUCUCUCUCUUUUUUUUUUGUUCGUUUUUUUAUGGUAGUGCACCUUAAUGUUGGUAAUAUUGAUAAGGGAGAACAAAAGGGUACGUGCAAAUCAAACCCUUCUUCUAGAACCAAAAAAUGCAAAGUAUAUCAAACAUUAAUGCCACUAACUGCAUAUUUGUGUCAUUUUAUGGCUAGAAGUUUCAAAGUGGUUCUGGAAACUCUCAAGGAAAUCUCUUUCAGUCCUGCAUGCUUCCACCAUUUACGCCUCUGUGAAAAAGUACUCAUGAUCUUCAAGAAUUUUUUAAGAAUAUGAGGAAAAGUGUUCACAGCACACAUAUUUUGCGCAUUUGUGGUCGGAUCCAGUACCCAACUCCUGCAUAAUAUAUAUAUGUCCAUCGGGCAUGAGACCAUAUAAUGUGGACAAUCUAUCUAUUAGUCGGAGAUUGUCUCCACUUGCUGAAUUUCCAGCUAACAAAGAUGCUAAGCUACAAUAGUAGGGUUAAAAAUAACAAUGAGUUUAUGUUGACAAACCAGCUCAAAUGAGGAAAAGAAGUGCUACAUCCUGUAUGAAAAUAGUCAACAUUCGUGGGUCCUACUGACUAAGGAUUAUUGCACUAAGAUUUACUGGAUAGAUCUCCAUGUGGAGUUCAAUUUUUGACCAUCAUUAGUCCUGUUGUUGGACCUUGAUAAUCCACCUUCUAGAUAGCUUAAGAUUUGAGGUUUCUUCCUUCUUUUUUUUUCCUUGUCAAUAUAAACAGAACAAAGAGCAGGCACAUGGAGGAGCUAGUAGUGAAAGUGAGAAUGUGGGACUCGACUUUGAACUGAGAAUAUUAGCAUUCAUCAAAAUGCAUGUCAACUUUCUGCAACUGCAACUUUGUGGGUUUAAGCUGGGAAACUUGAAAGAUCAUCUACAAUGCUAUUGGUGGUUAGUACAUUAUCCUUCUAUUAUGAUUAACAAUCAGAGAUGAUCGCACAACGGAAGGGUUGACACGACAUCGUAUAUAUAUAUAUAUAUAUACUGUGGCAUUGUACAAGAUACCCAACCUUAAAUCCCCUAUCGCAAAAUAUACCAAUCCUCUUAUUCCACGACAUCAAUUGUUGGGAGAUUAUGAACUGUCGGUGGUUCCAGUGGUUUGAUACAAUGCCCCAGAGAUUGGAACCAGAAUAGCCACAUAUAACAUCAGUGUAACAACCCCUUUUGAACACAGCAAGGAGAUUUGACAUCGUAAAAGUUAUAAACGGGCUCUCUCAACAACCGUACGAAUUUAGCUGUUAAAAUGGCAUUGGGUGGGAAGGUAUAACAUCCCAUCUUCGACAUGUAAUAAGUUGAUGCUUGAAAUGCAAUUUGUCUGCAGGAUUAUGACCAGUGGUGGGGGAUGACUGCUAGUCUCAAUUAGGUUUGGGUUUCCAAGUCAUUUGCUGCAACUAAUAGGCACAUGCAUGGUUUCUUAUGAGCAAGACAAUGCUUAUUUUCUGUUGUUAUAAAGCGCCGAGCCUUUUAAUCAAACAUCAUAGGACCAGCACAGCAACAGUGGAGAACAGUGAUAAGAUUGAGAAGCCAAGGAGAAAUUUCAACACGCAUAUGGAGAAUCAACGUCAAACAAUUAUUAGGCUUCGGGUCUAAAGCUAGUUGGCCAAUACCCUAAUAAUAUAUCAUUUUGAGAGUGCGUAGACUAAGAUUACUGCAUCAGCUCUUAGGACCAAACAUAGUUUAAUUAGUACUAGUUGGAAAUGUUUAACACAAUUUUCUCAUCUGGCAUAAUCAUGAUCAUGACUUUAGUAGUUGUCAUUUCAUUCAUUGUUCAUCUGUCUCCAUCUUUUCUUACGUCUUCCUCCGACAAGAGUUCGCUUAUAAAAAAUGAUUAUUAAUCACGAUAUUAUUAAACGAUUCACACAAAUAUGAAAAUCCCUAAAGUCGAUCAAGCAGGCAAGUAGUUUGUAUUCGUGCUUAAUUAAUCGCUUAGUAUAUAAUUUUUCCUUUCAUUAAAUCCAUGCACGUCUUCGCGGAAAGAAAAAGUACACGCAUGUUUUGUACUUCACUAAAAUUAGAGUACUACAUACUACAAAGUAAAAAACAAAGGGUAGACCCUAUGCAUGGUAGUAGUAAAGGAAAGGUUCAAGCCAAAUGCUUUGUACUUGUAGUAGCCAGAUAAUUAACUUGUUCCAAUGAUUUGGAAGUGUUUACAAGUUUAAACACGAAUAACCAUGCAUGCACGCAUGUGAUAUCACACAAGCAUUCAUUCAUUCAUGAAGAUGCCUCAUGCAUUCAUUGCAUGUUCUACAUAAAUUGGUACAAUGAAACACAAUAAUUAAACAACUUGUAAACUAACAUAGAAAUUGGAAAGUAAGAAUCCAAACAGGGUAAUAUAUCACAAUAAUUAAGAUUACCAUUAAUGCUGACUUUAGAGACAAGAAGCGUGCUAGUACUGAACAACAUAGGGGUUGGCCCCGAGAUCUUGGAUCCACUACUACAGGAAUUUUCACGUAAGCAUAAUAAGAUUGGAAGGAUGUUGCCAAGGCUAUAAAUAUUAAGUUGAAUGUGACAUAGACCUAAGCACAGGCUUCUAUCUCCAACCACCAAUUAUAGAUACUUGCCAUCAUUAACAUGGAAAAAGGUGUGACCUAAUUUCAAUAAUCAAAUGCAGUCUAUUACUCCUGUGGUCCUGCUCAGCCAUGAUAAAGGCAAAUAUUUUGUAAGAAAGAAUAUUGAAGUUAACCAUGAUUCAAGUACUUUUCAUAUCCUUACAAUAUAUAAGAGGUACUUUUGCCUUACUGUUCAAGGCCAGUUUCAUCUGCUCUUCCAAGGCCUUACCCGUCAUUUUGCCCUCCAUCCGGUGUUGCUUAUAUAUUUUCUCCUCCUCUUACGCAGGACAAUUUUGUGUGUAAGAAGUGGAGAUUUUUUACCUUCAUAUUACGCAUUUGCCCUUGGUCUACUUAUUAUUCCUUUGUUUACCCUCAAUAAAUUCUUUUUUUAUGGUUCUGCGAGUGUUAUGAAAUUGGGCUUUUUUGUCAAUUCCUUUGACAAGAUUGUUGGGUUACAUCAAUAAACAGUAAUCUCAGCCUCCAAUUUACACUUUCCUCCUUAAAGAUGCCUUUCUUGUGGAUUAUAAGAUUUUAGCUUGAGGUCAUCAUUGGAAAGUAAAUUUUAUGCCCCCACUUGCAUGAAUCUGCUGUUGCCAAUGCCAUAUUAAGCACAAUGGUAUACAGAUUAGUCAUGCGCAUAUGUACUGAUCUCCGUCAAUUUGCUUUGUUCUAUUUGCUUUCAUCUCCCACUGUUUUGCUUCCUUUGCAUUGCCGCUGCUGGUAAUCAUCCUUUUACUUCCUUCUGUUUUAUAUUUUAUAUUAUAUUUCCUCAUUUUUGUUCCACCAAAUCUGGAUAAUGAUCCCGCACAUUAUUACGCACCUGAACACGAUUACGCUCCGUCUGCACAAAACACUAAGCUUAAACUUAUAAUAAACUUUUACCAUCCACUAACAAAUUACGUUUGACCAAACUAACUUAUAAAACUCAAUGCUCAGUUCAAAACAAAACAAUACUAUACACAUGUGAACAAAGAUUCCAACCAUACAAAAAAAAAAAAACAACAACAACAAAAAGCUGCAGCUUCACAGACAUCUUUUACAUAAAAUAAUUUCUGCAACUCACAAUUAGCUACAUAAAUAAACAACAUUUUCCCAUGUUUUACUUCAGAAAAUUUAACCCAAGUAACUUUCCCAUGUUUUACUACCAAUCUUUCCACACAAGCAUUUUCCUAAUACCUAAAACAAAACAGGCCAACCCCCAGGCACCACCCGCGCCUCGCGCGGGAAAAACAACCUAGUUAUGAAACAAUUGAACGUUUGCACGAUCAAGUGUACAAAAGUAAAGAUAUAGUGAAUAAUAGAUUUGUAGUUUGGUAGACUUUUACUAGAAUAGAUGUAAAAGAUGCAUGUAAAAUUUUCAUGUCGAGUGGCCUGCGCUUUUUCGAUUCUAAUGUCUCAUCGCCUACAUUUACAUCAAAUUUUGAUCACGGGGUUGCAAAAUAGUUAUGUUUGAAGACUACAUGUUAGACAUAGGUAUCGAUUACCUUUUUUUUUUUUUUGGGGGUAAAAAAAGAAGACUGUUGCGUUUGAUAACCAUGUUAGAUAUAGGCAUCGGUUACCUCUUUUUUUUUUUUUUUUUUUUUUUGGUAAAAAGAGAAGACUUGAAUAAUAAUAAUACCGCUUCAUAGCACAUUGCUUUUAUCUAAAUUCGUAUAAUUUUAUCAUUUUAAACUGAUUAGCAAUAAAACGUUUCCUGCAACAAACAUUCCCUUUAGGACUUUCGGUCUUGCCGCCGACGACCUGCCAACAGGCAGCAGAAUUUCCAAAUCCAGUACUUCGUCAUUUUCACCGCACUUGACUUCUCAGGAUUAUUACAAUUCAACUCAAUUCAAUAUUGAUAACAAUUUCCAUGCAGUGGCAGAAGAAAUCUUUUAGCAAGGCAUGAAACUCCAUCACAGCGCAAAGGGAUUUUAAGUGUGCCGUUUUUGUUCUCUCUGUUGCUUGGUUGAGGUGGAUGCUAGAAAACAAGAAUGGGAUUAAAGAAAAAAGAAAACAUUGCCGCAUGUUCAGAAUUUCUAAUUCAACAAUAAGGUAACAACAGAAAAGCUAACUGGUUGUCUCCAAAACAUGAAGUAUGACAAAAUUGUCUCGCAAAAAUUGCCAGUUCGGCUAUAGAUAGCACCACCAAAACAAGGAGACACACCCCUUCAAACUCUAAAGCCUCUGCUAUUUCUUCUUCCCCUAGCUCUCUCAAAUUUCCUACCCGUGGCCCUAACAUAUGGUUUGGUGUGGCUAUGAGGCACACCAGGAGCUGGGCCAAAAUGUUUCACGGCCU
rnacentral:lncRNA from 1 species